rnacentral:rRNA from 1 species
CCUACGGGUGGCAGCAGUGGGGAAUAUUGCACAAUGGGGGAAACCCUGAUGCAGCGACGCCGCGUGAGGGAAGAAGUAUUUCGGUACGUAAAGCUCUAUCAGCAGGGAAGAAAAUGACGGUACCUGACUAAGAAGCCCCGGCUAACUACGUGCCAGCAGCCGCUGUAAUCAGGAGGGGGCAAGCGGUAACCCGAUUUACUGGGGGUAAAGGGGGCGUAGACGGGAGCGAAAGUCUGGAGUGAAAUACCAUGGCUUAACCACGGAACUGCUUUGGAAACUGUGCAGCUGGAGUGCAGGAGAGGUAAGCGGAAUGCGUAGUGUAGCGGUGAAAUGCGUAGAUAUCAGGAGGAACACC